GUGCUAAAGUCUCAGAGGUAACCCCGAGGAUACCUAAAACUGGCAACACAGCCAGGAAGUUCAAGGGCAGCCGGGAAGAUGGACGCCGCACGUGCCACCCACCAGGAAGUCCCAGGAGCUGUGCCACACCCAUCAGACAAGACCUGGAUCCAGGAGCCCGGACAUGGCCAGAGGGCGGCCACGGGAACUGGAGCCGGACACAUCUCCCUGGAGGAGAGCACAAGGCUGUUAACCCUCACUGCUCGGGUUUCUGGGCGGCUGUGCACGUGUUUCCUGUGCAAGUGGACAGGUCAGGCAGCGGGUGUGGGGCAGCCGCACUACAGGGCACAGCCCCCACUGCCCGGGCAGCGUCUGGGAGGCAGCUCCUGCCUGCAGCCUGGGAGCCGCCGGUGUUGGCCUCUGGGAGCCUUCUCUCUGUAGAUACCGCCUGGCGAGGUGCGCAUGUGCACACAGACACCCGACUGUGGCACGUGUGUGCACGACUGUGCGUGCCAUUGCAGUAUUGAAAUACAAACUGGAAGUGGAGGAGGCUUGCUACACCGUCCAGGGCUAUGCCUGUCAGUCCUCCACAAAUACCAACAAUGCAUCAGUCACCUACAGGCGGUACUGUGGGAAACAUGGACGUCCUGGGCCCUGGUGAUGCGGCUCCACGGGCAGGGUCCCCUGGGGCAGCACCUCCUGCACAGACCUCUUGCCUGGGUCCCUGGUGGGGUGGGCAGGUGUGGGGUAGCCCGCUCUGGGGAAACUCAGGGAUGUGUGUCCGUCCCGCCUUCUUCUCGCUUCAGCCCCUGCCCUGACCCCGCGCUGGUCCCGGUUCCAUCCAAGUCUCCUCUGUUCUCCUGGCACCACUGACCUCCAAGAACUGCCCUACCUGGCCCACCCAGGCGCCCACACCACCGCCCUGCAUGGGGCCCUGAGCCCCGGUCACGUGGGUCCCAUGGCUCCUUCCUGGUCAGCAGCUCCUGCCCUGGGGUCCAUCCUCGCCUCCUUGUCACACGAUGCCCCGUGUGGGGCCCCUUCUGCCCAACUAAUCCUGGCUGAGCCCUCGGAGGCACUCACUGUGCCCCUGGUCCUGCCUCGCCAGCACCUGGUCGGUGUGCGAUUGGUUCAACUGGUGGUGACUGACAGGGCCAAGGGCUGGGAUUUUUAAAAGGUGAAUUUUCAAAAACUCCUUUGCAAUUUUUGUUAAGAAUCUGCAUUUUUUUUUUGUAUUUGAGUUACAGAAAGAGGCAGAGACACACACAGAGAGAGAGAGAGGUCUUCGAUCUGCUGGUUCACUCACUAAAUGGCCUCAAUGGUUGGAGCUGAGCUGAUCUGGACCCAGGACCCCAAGAGCUUCUUCUGGGUCUCUCACAUGAAUGCAGAGGCCCAGGCACUUGGCCACCUUCUGCUGCUUUCCCAGGCCAUAGCAGAGAGCUGGAUUGGAAGUGGUGCAGCUGGGACUUGAACUAGUGCCCAUGUGGGAUGCCGGCACUGCAGGCUGCAGCUUUAACCCACUGUGCCACAGCGCUGGCCCCUCGUUCCAACUUUUGAGCCAGUGUCUUGUGGCAUCGACAGAGUCUACAUUUGGGCAGUCUCAGACUUAGAGGCAGGGCCCAUGGCACUGUCCCCAGUGGCGUCCCCCAGCCUCUCACUCUUUGUGACGCACCUGCUACAGGGGGACCCAGCAUCAACACUCUGACUCUUGGUGGUCAAAACUGGCAUCGGGGUCCUCUUGCGUUGCUCGUCCCAUGGGGACAGCCCACUGGCCUGCAAGUCCCCGGCAACCCCUGACCUUCGGCUGGCUCCAUCAUUUUGCCUUUUGCAGAAUGUCCCAUCCCGCAUGGACCUGUUGGGAGUUUGCUGCCGAGAGAAAGGUUUGCUAGGGAGCGAGGCCGUCCCAGGGGAUAACUCAGGGGUGGGGCCUGCGGUCUGCCUGAGCUCUCUGUUUUCCUAUCUCCCCUCCAGGCCUUGCCAAACCCAUCGGUCUGGUGGAGGGGCCAGGCGGCCUGGGCCAGGGGGGCGUGGCCGCCACGCUCCGCACGGACAGCCAGGAGACAGACGUCAAGUACGAGGAGUACGGGUACAAUGCCCAGCUCAGCGACCGCAUCUCCCUGGACAGGACCAUCCCCGACUACAGGCCCAAAAAGUGCAGGCAGAUGACCUACUCCGAAGAGCUGCCCCAGGUCUCCGUGGUCUUCAUAUUUGUCAAUGAGGCCCUCUCGGUCAUCCUGCGCUCCGUCCACAGCGUGGUCAACCACACGCCCUCCCAGCUCCUGAAGGAGGUCAUCCUGGUGGACGACAACAGUGACAAUGCGGAGCUCAAGUUCAACCUGGACCAGUACGUCCACAGGAGGUACCCAGGCCUGGUGAAGAUCGUCCGCAACAGCCGGCGGGAAGGCCUGAUUCGGGCGCGGCUGCAGGGCUGGAAGGUGGCCACGGCCCCCGUCGUCGGCUUCUUCGACGCCCACGUCGAGUUCAACACGGGCUGGGCCGAGCCUGCCCUCUCGCGGAUCCGGGAAGACCGGCGUCGCGUGGUCCUGCCCGCCAUCGACAACAUCAAGUUCAACACGUUCGAGGUGCAGCAGUACGCCAACGCGGCCCACGGCUACAACUGGGGCCUCUGGUGCAUGUACAUCAUCCCGCCCCAGGACUGGCUGGACCGUGGCGACGAGGCAGCGCCCAUCAGGACCCCCGCCAUGAUCGGCUGCUCCUUCGUGGUGGACCGGGAGUACUUCGGGGACAUCGGCCUGCUGGACCCUGGCAUGGAAGUGUACGGCGGGGAGAACAUUGAGUUGGGUAUGCGGGUGUGGCAGUGCGGCGGCAGCAUGGAGGUGCUGCCCUGCUCCCGCGUGGCCCACAUCGAGCGCAGCAGGAAGCCCUACAACAAUGACAUUGACUACUAUGCCAAGCGCAACGCCUUGCGGGCAGCUGAGGUGUGGAUGGACGACUUCAAGUCGCACGUGUACAUGGCCUGGAACAUCCCCAUGACGAACCCAGGGGUGGACUUCGGGGACGUGUCCGAGAGGCUGGCCCUGCGCCGCAGGCUGAAGUGCCGCAGCUUCCAGUGGUACCUGGAGAACGUGUACCCCGAGAUGAGGGUCUACAGCGACACGCUGGCCUACGGAGAGGUGCGAAACAGCAAAGCCAGCGGCUACUGCCUGGACCAGGGCUCGGAGGACGACGACCAGGCCAUCCUGUACCCCUGCCACGGGAUGUCCUCCCAGUGCGGUACAGCACAGACGGCCUCCUGCAGCUCGGACCCCUGGGCUCCACCGCCUUCCUGCCCGACUCCAAGUGUCUGGUGGACGACGGCGGGGGCCGGAGCCCUGCCCUGAGGAAGUGCGAGGAUGUGGCCCGGCCCACCCAGCGGCUGUGGGACUUCACCCAGAGCAGCCCCAUCGUGAGCCGAGACACCGGCCGGUGCCUGGAGGUGGAAAUGUCCAAAGAAGCCAACUUCGGGCUGCGGCUGGUGGUGCAGAGGUGCUCAGGGCAGAAGUGGGUGAUCCGAAACUGGGUCAGGCACAGGCGGCACUGAC